AUUGAACGCUGGCGGCAGGCCUAACACAUGCAAGUCGAGCGGAUGAAGGGAGCUUGCUCCUGGAUUCAGCGGCGGACGGGUGAGUAAUGCCUAGGAAUCUGCCUGGUAGUGGGGGAUAACGUCCGGAAACGGGCGCUAAUACCGCAUACGUCCUGAGGGAGAAAGUGGGGGAUCUUCGGACCUCACGCUAUCAGAUGAGCCUAGGUCGGAUUAGCUAGCUGGUGGGGUAAAGGCCUACCAAGGCGACGAUCCGUAACUGGUCUGAGAGGAUGAUCAGGCAAACCGGAACUGAGAAACGGUCCAGACUCCUACGGGAGGCAGCAGUGGGGAAUAUUGGACAAAGGGCGAAAGCCUGAUCCAGCCAUGCCGCGUGUGUGAAGAAGGUCUUCGGAUUGUAAAGCACUUUAAGUUGGGAGGAAGGGCAGUAAGUUAAUACCUUGCUGUUUUGACGUUACCAACAGAAUAAGCACCGGCUAACUUCGUG
rnacentral:rRNA from 1 species